rnacentral:misc_RNA from 1 species
CGGCGAUCGGGAUCCGCCAACGUGUCCACUUGUGAACAAGCUUGUGCAAGUUAGUAGUACAUAAAGCGUGCGGCUAACGUGCGCAUGGCACGAGGCACAUGCCAGGAAGGCAACGUCCGGCUUUGUCGUUUUAAGACGGUGGUAGUGGAAUGAGACCUUGACCUUAGAUCCGAGACCGGAUCAUAGUAGGGUCAACGAGGCGCAAUUGGCGGGUCAAAAAAUCGACAAAGUGUCCGAAGUUGUUACGACGAG